GCGGCUAUCGUCUAGUGGUUAGGACCUCGGGUUUUCAUCCCGGUAACCGGAGUUCGAUUCUCCGUAGCCGUACCA
rnacentral:tRNA from 1 species